rnacentral:rRNA from 1 species
AACGAACGCUGGCGGCAUGCCUAACACAUGCAAGUCGAACGAGACCUUCGGGUCUAGUGGCGCACGGGUGCGUAACGCGUGGGAACCUGCCCUUAGGUUCGGAAUAACUCCCCGAAAGGGGUGCUAAUACCGGAUAAUGUCUUCGGACCAAAGAUUUAUCGCCUUUGGAUGGGCCCGCGUUGGAUUCGCUAGUUGGUAGGGUAAAAGCCUACCAAGGCGACGAUCCAUAGCUGGUCUGAGAGGAUGAUCAGCCACACUGGGACUGAGACACGGCCCAGACUCGUACGGGAGGCAGGAGUGGGGAAUAUUGGACAAUGGGCGAAAGCCUGAUCCAGCAAUGCCGCGUGAGUGAUGAAGGCCUUAGGGUUGUAAAGCUCUUUUACCCGGGAUGAUAAUGACAGUACCGGGAGAAUAAGCUCCGGCUAACUCCGUG